GAUGAAGAACGUAGCGAAAUGCGAUAAGUAAUGUGAAUUGCAGAAUUCAGUGAAUCAUCGAAUCUUUGAACGCACAUUGCGCUCUUUGGUAUUCCGGGGGGCAUGCCUGUCCGAGCGUCAUUGCUGCCCUCAAGCACGGCUUGUGUGUUGGGCCUCCGUCCUCCUCCCGGGGGACGGGCCCGAAAGGCAGCGGCGGCACCGCGUCCGGUCCUCGAGCGUAUGGGGCUUCGUCACCCGCUCUUGUAGGCCCGGCCGGCGCUUGCCGACACAUCAAUCUUUUUUCCAGGUUGACCUCGGAUCAGGUAGGGAUACCCGCUGAACUUAAGCAUAUCAAUAAGCGGAGGA
rnacentral:misc_RNA from 1 species